rnacentral:lncRNA from 1 species
CUGGUUAAAUAUUACAGUUCCAUCGCUGAAACGGACUCCCGCAUGCCAACCGCCUCCGCAAGCCACGCUCCUUCCUUUCCCCAUCGCGAUUGUGAUCGGAUAAAGAUAAACAACCGCUCCGUCUUCAUCCUCUCCCACCCGGCCACCCCCAUGCGCUUCAUCCCGGCGCUUCCGCCACCAGAUUUUUUACCAGCCACCACGCCGAGGUCGUGCAGCGGGGGCCUUCCCAGAGAACUCUCGCCACCGCCUCUGAAAACCACGCCAUAAAGACUCUCCUCUCCGAUGGCUGACGACAUGGGGUACCACAACUGCCAACGGGUACCGGAGGGCAUCACGGUGGUGCCGCCUCCGCCAUCGUCUCAGGGCGUCGAUGCCGCCAUGAGCCAUGGUGCUUUCCUGGUCAUCCGUGGGCAGCACUUUGCUAUGCAAUCGGGACCGCGGUCGUUAGAUUCAUCUCUUCGAUUUCUGUGGGGUUCAUGCGAUGCGGUUUCGGGUUUUCGCAUAGUUUGUUAGAUGUUGCCUUUUUUGUAUGCCCAUUUCUUUUUCUUUUCUACCUGCAAUCCUGUGCGUCCACGCCAUCGCUUUAAAGUUCAGCCACAAGAUCCUCGUCCAACGGCCAUCAACAUAUCUCUCCACGCCAGCAGUAGGCUGCCUUCUCAUCUUCGCACCGCGACGGAAUUGUUCUAGAGAACGCGAGUUUCGUCGUCUUCUCUUCCAUCGCGAUUGAUCAGCAGAGCACGACUCAAAUCCAAAGGCAGAACAGAGCAGCUCUGGAUCCACAAACUCAAACGGUUUGUGCUUUGGAAGAUAUUGAUAUCAUGAGAUGUUCUUGUUGGUUACGAAAGCACACUGAGAUACUCAUGUUGCUUUUGUCGCUAAGCAUUCUUUUGAAAACUAUUUAAUUCUAAUUUUGACUGUUGCAGGCUUUUAUAUGGUAUGGCUGCAGUACGGUGAGAAAUAGACAGAGUCUUAAUCAUGAGCUGAAGAUUGAGUGGCCUGAACGACUUAUUACCAACUGAUUUUCCCAACUAACUCAAUUUUAUUAUUGAAUAUAAUGGUUGAGAAAUGACCCUUUGAAAUUAUCUCAUGAACAGGGGAUUGAAGUCUGCAUGGUACCUUUUGCUGAUAGGGUAACUUCAUCAAUUUCUACAGAUUUUUUUCCUUGUGAAAAUUGAUAUCUACUCUCACGGUCUCACCUCAUAUUGCUGUAUUUUGUAGCUAGAUGAGGUGAAAUUUGUUGUACCACUUCUGGUUUCUGCCAUGAGCUGGG